rnacentral:rRNA from 1 species
GGGUCAGUAGGUUGGUCGUGCCACCGGUACGUACUGGUCUCACUGAUUCCUCCUUCCUGAAGAACCGUAAUGCCAUUAAUUUGGUGUUGCGGGGAAACAGGACUGUUACUCUGAAAAAAUUAGAGUAUUUAAAGCAAGCUAACGCUUGAAUACAUUAGCAUGGAAUGAUGAAAUAGGACGAUCGAUCCUAUUUUGUUGGUUUCUAGGAUUGACGUA